CGCCGCGUAGUCUACUUGGAUGUUGUUCGCUUGAGGAGUGGCUUCCGGAGCUAACGCGUUAAGUCGACCGCCUGGGGAGUACGGCCGCAAGGUUAAAACUCAAAUGAAUUGACGGGGGCCCGCACAAGCGGUGGAGCAUGUGGUUUAAUUCGAUGCAACGCGAAGAACCUUACCUACUCUUGACAUCCAGAGAACUUAGCAGAGAUGCUUUGGUGCCUUCGGGAACUCUGAGACAGGUGCUGCAUGGCUGUCGUCAGCUCGUGUUGUGAAAUGUUGGGUUAAGUCCCGCAACGAGCGCAACCCUUAUCCUUUGUUGCCAGCGAUUCGGUCGGGAACUCAAAGGAGACUGCCGGUGAUAAACCGGAGGAAGGUGGGGAUGACGUCAAGUCAUCAUGGCCCUUACGAGUAGGGCUACACACGUGCUACAAUGGCGCAUACAAAGAGAAGCGACCUCGCGAGAGCAAGCGGACCUCACAAAGUGCGUCGUAGUCCGGAUCGGAGUCUGCAACUCGACUCCGUGAAGUCGGAAUCGCUAGUAAUCGUGGAUCAGAAUGCCACGGUGAAUACGUUCCCGGGCCUUGUACACACCGCCCGUCACACCAUGGGAGUGGGUUGCAAAAGAAGUAGGUAGCUUAACCUUCGGGAGGGCGCUUACCACUUUGUGAUUCAUGACUGGGGUGAAGUCGUAACAAGUAAACCGUAAAGGGUGCGCCGUGCCUUCUAAA
rnacentral:rRNA from 1 species